CCUUGUACACACCGCCCGUCACACCAUGGGAGUUGGCUUUACCCGAAGGCGUUGUGCUAACCGCAAGGAGGCAGACGACCACGGUAGGGUCAGCGACUGGGGUG
rnacentral:rRNA from 1 species